GAGAUUGGACCUAUGGCCUGAAACAUGCUCGGCAAGCCCUCUAGGUCCCCAGCCCUUGUUAUGCCCUAUUACACAGGCUGUCACUAAGUUUCUCAGGCUGGUCUCAAACUUUUGAUCCUCCUGCCUUGAUCUCCCAAGUGGCUGGCUGAGUGUUCUUUUAGGUGAAGAUUUCCUUUUUUAAUUGUGAAAAUAAUACACACCCUUGGAAUAUACCGAAAAGAAAGAAGCAAAAGGUGUUAUAUAACCUAAGGACACUGAGGAGCUUCCUUAUUAAUAAGCAGCCUCAGCCAGUCCCCGUGCCUACGUUUCCUCACAGAAGAGGCGCCUUGAUUCCGCACGGGGAGACACCAGAAUUGAAUGGAGUUCUUCUCUGGAAGCAGAGAUGGGAGAAAUCAAGACUCACAAAGAUGACCUGACAUUCCCAAGUAGUGACAGACCCUGGAUGCAGACCCUGAGGAAUGAAUGAAGUGAAAUGGGGCAGUGGUCAGCAUGACCCAGAGCUGAUCUAUGUGUCUCACUAAGUUGCUCAGGACCUCACUAAGGUGCUGAGGUUGACGUUGAACAUGUGGUCCUCCUGCCUCAGCCUCCUGAACCACUGGGAUUAUAGGUGUGCAUCACCACGCCUGGCUUUUCCUUCUUAUUCUGAGGUUUCCAGCUUCUUGGAUUGAGCAGUUACUGGUUCCCUUGGCUGUCCUGUCAUGCAGACG